CCUCGCCGGCCUGCGCGGUAUCCGCCAGCCCUCGCAGAGAGAGGGGCGCCGGCCCGUGGUCCCCUAGACCUCCAUUGAAGGUCAAAACUUUGCUCGACCCGGGGCAGGGAGGCGCGGACCUCGGCAGAGGGAGCCCGAGGCUUUCCGUGCUCUUCGCGCCGGUCAAGAACUAUGGAAUCUUUCAGAUGAUAUUGUGAUACUCCUGGACAAAGAUUGAAUUUGUUCUUCAUGAAAAAUGUCUGGGACCAUUUAUAUGGACGGGGAAUACCAACAUACAGAUGGUCAAGAAAAUUUGCGCUCCGACCUAAACCAAGCACGUUGUAUGGUAGUUGGAGAGCUAAAUGUGCGGAUUGGCUGAGUUGACCAGCUAGAAUUAUUCAAUUAAAAAAAAACAUUAAAAACAUCUCUGGAAACAUUGCUCCCAUCAAAUAUUAAAAUGAUAAAAUGUUAAA